AUGACCGUAGAGAAUCGGCCGAGGUGUUCCGAGUGUUGACUCCAUAUCUGGCGUCCGAUACUUUACGUUAUAACUAAGACUUGCUACGAAUUAUAGGUGCUGCUCGUUUUGCUUUCCCGGUCUAGCCGAUUUAGCCGUUUCUAAUCGGCAACUCGCUCGAUUGGCCAUCCCGCCGUCCCGUCGGCUUAACCGGGACCUGCCGAUCGCCCCGAAAAAAUUUCAGCGGGACAAUCGGGACAAGAUGGCGGCUUGAAAGAUGGACGUAACACCAAAGUGGACCUGCUUUUUGUGUGCCCAGCCAGCUCCAUUCCACUCUCUUGCUUCACUAGAAGCGCAGGAAAAAUCUGGAAACACAGAGAUAUAUAUAGACGGUGAUUACAAGAUUUAUUUGCGCUGCCCGUCCUGCAGGAGGUGUUUUCAUCCAAGCUGCUGCGACACUUACGAAUUAGAGCUACAUUUAACAAAGGAAGUGAAAGGGACUUUUUGUGAUCCGUGUGCAA